ACCAGUUUUCUGGAGCGCUGUGUGUUCUUAACAGCUGAGCAGUCUGUUUCUCCAAUCAGGUUUCAAAGCCACUUCAACUGCACUGGCCCCUGUGGGUCACUGCUGCACCGCCCUGACCCAUGUGGGUCCCUGAGGAGCGACCUGCCGGGGCCACCUGGCUGGACGAAAAAGACACACCUUGGACUUAAGCCGUGAGAAAAAAACUUCAUCAGUAAGAAGAAUGAAUAAACAGACUAGGUUGAAUCCAUACAAUGGAAUGUUAGCAGACAAUAAAAAGAAAAUGAACUAUUGAUGUCCCCUACUGCACAGCAGAAGCUCUGAAUCGUGUUCCUGAAUGAAAGAAGUCAGGCAGGUUCUUCAGGAGGGAUUCCAGAACAAGGCACUCUCAUCACAGGAGAUGACAGCUCCAUGUGCAUGACGGCCCCAGAAGACCAUCUGGUAGGACAAGAUGUGGAGGUGGAACGCAGUGAUAUUGAUAAUCCUGACCCUGGAGAUGAAAAGAUGGGCCAGGAGUCCAGUUUCUGGAAGGCCAAGAAUCGAAGUAGCAAGCUGCAGCCGUUUUCCAGACAAGCAGGAUGUGGGGAUGCAGAAGAAUUCAGGACUGGAGGGGCAAACUCCGAUGUGACUGAGGCCCCACUGCCAAAUGGCAGCAUGCUCAGAUAGCACCCAGGAAUUUGGGGAAAAAAACUGGUGCUCACAGCUGCCCAGUUAAGGCACAAGUCUCCCGCCUGCUGCAGGUAUGUGGGUGGGACAAGUGGGUCAGUCCACAGAACAAAAGGUAUGUAAAGGAGGCCUUCUUUUUGGGAAAUCCUUUGUAGAUCCACCACCCACACCUUAGUCACAAGCCCAGAAGGGGCUGAAAAUGACAUUUCCAAGGGGCACAGGCUGCCAGCCAUCACAAAGCACACUAUCUGGUGGGGGAGAUAUGGCUAUCGCAGAGUUUUCACCCACGAGCUGGAGUUCUUUGUUCUGAAUGCAUGCCCUGCUUUCAGUAUGGUUUCCUUGGCAGUCAAAAAGAUGCUAAUCAAAUGCCCCAUUGAUAGCUUUAUGAAUGAAAGGAUGUGUAUUUUAAGAGAGCUUUUUGCCGGCACCCAAUUACACUGAUAAACUUUUCGCAGUCUGACAGGAAUUAGUUUCAAAUAAGUGGUGACAUUUAAACAACAACAAACCUCAAGGCCAUG
rnacentral:lncRNA from 1 species